UACGGAGGGGGGCUAGCGUUGUUCGGAAUUACUGGGCGUAAAGCGCACGUAGGCGGCUUUGUAAGUUAGAGGUGAAAGCCCGGGGCUCAACUCCGGAAUUGCCUUUAAGACUGCAUCGCUAGAAUUGUGGAGAGGUAAGUGGAAUUCCGAGUGUAGAGGUGAAAUUCGUAGAUAUUCGGAAGAACACCAGUGGCGAAGGCGACUUACUGGACACAUAUUGACGCUGAGGUGCGAAAGCGUGGGGGAGCAAACAGGG
rnacentral:rRNA from 1 species